AAGCUAUGAUGAUAUUUGUGCUUCUGUGUUGGAGGGGUCCAUCACAAUUAUCAUAAUUUGGUUGAAAUAAAGCACUUCUGAGCUU